rnacentral:rRNA from 1 species
GUGCCAGCCGCCGCGGUAAUACGUAGGGGGCAAGCGUUGUCCGGAUUUAUUGGGCGUAAAGAGCGCGUAGGCGGCCUGGUAAGUCGGGUGUGAAAUCUCCGAGCUCAACUCGGAGGGGCCACUCGAUACUGCUAUGGCUUGAGUCCGGUAGAGGAGUGUGGAAUUCCCGGUGUAGCGGUGAAAUGCGCAGAUAUCGGGAGGAACACCGAUAGCGAAGGCAGCACUCUGGGCCGGUACUGACGCUGAGGCGCGAAAGCGUGGGGAGCAAACAGGAUUAGAAACCCCUGUAGUCC